rnacentral:rRNA from 1 species
UACGGAGGAUCCGAGCGUUAUCCGGAAUCAUUGGGUUUAAAGGGUCCGUAGGUGGACGAUUAAGUCGGAGGUGAAAUCCUGCAGCUCAACUGUAGAAUUGCCUUUGAUACUGGUUGUCUUGAAUCAUUGUGAAGUGGUUAGAAUAUGUGGUGUAGCGGUGAAAUGCAUAGAUAUCACAUAGAAUACCGAUUGCGAAGGCAGAUCACUAACAAUGUAUUGACACUGAUGGACGAAAGCGUGGGGAGCGAACAGGAUUAGAUACCCUGGUAGUCCACGCCGUAAACGAUGGAUACUAGCUGUCCGGGCUUCGGCCUGGGUGGCUAAGCGAAAGUGAUAAGUAUCCCACCUGGGGAGUACGUUCGCAAGAAUGAA